rnacentral:rRNA from 1 species
AGCAGCCGCGGUAAUUCCAGCUCCAAUAGCGUAUAUUAAAGUUGUUGCAGUUAAAAAGCUCGUAGUUGAAUUUCGGGACCAAUCUGCCGGUCGUGCCUCGGUACGUACUGGUAUUUUUGGUUUCUCCCUUCUGACGAACCUUGAUGUCAUUAAUUUGGUGUCUUGGGAAAUCAGGACUGUUACUUUGAAAAAAUUUAGAGUGUUUAAAGCAGGCAAUUAGCUUGAAUACAUUAGCAUGGAAUAAUGAAAUAGGACGUUUGAUCCUAUUUUGUUGGUUUUCUAGGAUCGACGUAAUGAUUAAUAGGGAUAGUUGGGGGCAUUAGUAUUCAAUUGUCAGAGGUGAAAUUCUUGGAUUUAUUGAAGACUAACUACUGCGAAAGCAUUUGCCAAGGAUGUUUUCAUUAAUCAAGAACGAAAGUUAGGGGAUCGAAGACGAUCAGAUACCGUCGUAGUCUUAACCAUAAACUAUGCCGACUAGGGAUCGGAUGAUGUUAAUUUUUUUAGUGACUCAUUCGGCGCC